rnacentral:tRNA from 1 species
AGUAAUAUAAGCUAAAUUUAAGCUAUUGGGCUCAUACCUCAAAUAUACGAAAGUUAUUACUA